GAUGAACGCUGGCGGCGUGCCUAAUACAUGCAAGUCGAGCGAACGGACGAGAAGCUUGCUUCUCUGAUGUUAGCGGCGGACGGGUGAGUAACACGUGGAUAACCUACCUAUAAGACUGGGAUAACUUCGGGAAACCGUAGCUAAUACCGGAUGAUAUUUUGAACCGCAUGGUUCAAAAGUGAAAGACGGUCUUGCUGUCACUUAUAGAUGGAUCCGCGCUGCAUUAGCUAGUUGGUAAGGUAACGGCUUACCAAGGCAACGAUGCAUAGCCGACCUGAGAGCGGGAUCGGCCACACUGGAACUGAGACACGGUCCAGACUCCUACGGGAGGCAGCAGUAGGGAAUCUUCCGCAAAGGGCGAAAGCCUGACGGAGCAACGCCGCGUGAGUGAUGAAGGUCUUCGGAUCGUAAAACUCUGUUAUUAGGGAAGAACAUAUGUGUAAGUAACUGUGCACAUCUUGACGGUACCUAAUCAGAAAGCCACGGCUAACUACGUG
rnacentral:rRNA from 1 species